rnacentral:misc_RNA from 1 species
GUUGCCUUUGGAUUCGCCAUUGCCGCUGAGAGACGAAGAAGCAUUGGCCAUAUUGAGAAAGAUCUAACAAAUGCUACGUACUGUGUCUACAACUCUGAUGUUGCAACUGGUUAUGGAGUGGGUGCUUUCUUAUUUCUUCUUUCAAGUGAAUCAUUACUAAUGGGUGUGACAAAGUGCAUGUGUUUUGGAAGACCAUUAGCCCCAGGCGGAAAUCGAGCUUGGUCCAUCAUCUAUUUUGUCUCAUCGUGGUUGACUUUUCUGGUUGCAGAAGCAUGUCUAAUUGC